AUGAGUGUCUGUGUGUAUGUGUGUGGUGGUGGUGGUGGUGGUGUGUGUGUAUGUGUGUGUGGCUCAUCCUAUUUAAUUUUGCUUUUCAUUGGUGCCUAAUCUAUUCUGGACUUUUUUCCAUCAAGUUGUGAUUGUGAGUACAGAAAGAAGUCCUGUCAGGCUCUGCUCCGACUGCCUGUGAGGGGAUAGGAUGCCUGCUGUUUAACGGGACAGAGCUGCCAAAAUCUUGACGGCUUGGCACCUUGAAAGAGGCAACAACGCACAUUGUUUAUUUCAACAUUCCUAAACUGUACAUAUGCUCUCUCGAUUCAGAGUUGGGAUCAUCAGGUUUCUCCUCUCCUACCCCCUCAGCCAUUUUUGGUCUGCUUCUUUUAUACUGCUAUGAACAGUAGAAAGAUUACAUUGAGAAUGCUUUUCUAGGUUUCCUGAGUUCUUUCAAGGGUUGCCUCCUGGUUUUCCCGCACCAUCUUAUUUGGGCCAGUGGAUUAAUUAGUGACUAGGACAACACUUCUGUCAGACGAUCAGGAUUCAUCAUGGGUCUGCCUCCAGUCACACUCAGUACCUAGGUACUGCAGUCACAGCAGGUUCUGCUUGGGCCACUUACCCAAAUGCACAGUGAAAGGGAUGAGUAGUGGAGAAAGCAGAGAGGGGAUUUAUUCAACAUGCUACAUUAAGAAAAAUAUGAAUGAAAUAGUCCAGGGAUCUCGGGUCUGUCUUUGGGCCACUGGCAAAACAGUUAAACACAAAUAGAAUAAAGAGGUUUGCAUUCCAUAGCAGCCCUGGUUAAGAAUGAGAACUCCUGAAAAGAGGCUGUGUCGACAGAGACUGACUGAUUAGAAUCUCAGGCCUGUGGAGAGAUUGGAAUGUUACAGCUACAGGGGCUAAUUACCUUAUCGUGAGCUAGUCUAGCCCCUAGAGCGUCCAUUCCUUGCCCGCCUCUGCGUCUAGAGUAACAUCUUCUAACUGACAGAUAGAAACCUUUUGGAAUCUACCAAUUUAGCAAACCACUCAAUAGCUUCUAUAAACCCCAAAGCUAAGACAGCUUUUGCAUAGGAAUCUAGAAUGUGGGGUUACUGAAGUCUGUAUUCUUGGGCUAUGGUCAUUCAGAAUGGCUCCAGAACAAACUAUCUCCCAUUCUUUAAAUUGAGAGCUGUGGUUUUUAUGUCAACAUGGUCAAGAUGUAGUAUUGCUGCUGAUCAAUGACCAGUGAUUAUCUUCUCAAAUCUGGUCCUGCAGCCUGGUCCCAUAGGUUGUUUUUUAGUCUAUUUUACUAUUUUUUAAUCUUCCUGACAAUUUUAUACAUGCUUAUAUUUUGAUCAUAUUCACCUGCUAUCCUUCUCCUCCUCCUACUGAGUACUUUAUUCCCGAGUAGUCUCCCUUCUCCUUUCAUUCUCUCUCUCUCUCUCUCUGUGUGUGUGUGUGUGUGUGUCUAUGUGUGUGUGUGCGAGAGACAGAGACAGAGACAGAGACCUACAGACAGACAGACAGACAGAGACAGACAGAGGGGAUUGGAAUUUUGAAUUUUGAUUUGGAUUGCUUGUGUGAACAUGGGUGAGAAACUUUUUACUAGAGCAGUGCCUACACCAGCAAACACUACUUGCCAAAAACUACCCAGGGAAGAAUAGAACUUCAUUAACUCCUCCCCAUGAUAGAUAGACUCCUGUUUUUCUUUAUUAUUAUUAUUAUUAUUAUUAUUAUUAUUAUUAUAUUGUUUGAAAAUCCCGUAUGUGCAUAGAAAGUAUUUUGACCAAAUCCAUCCCCCAUUCCCCUCUUCUAUAAUUUCUCCCCUGGGCCCCAACAAUGCGUCCUCCUCAAUUUCAUGUGCCCACUGAACCAACUUAACACUGCCUUUAUGUUCACAGGUAUAGGAGCAUCUGCUACGGGUGGGUAGCCUCUCAUGAGGCUGAAUGCCUGAAGAACACUGACUCUCCUCCCAGUAGCCAAUAAUAGUUCCUCAGCUCCAGGUGACACUUCAUGAGCCCCUCCCUCCCAUCCAUGCAGGGAUUUUGUGUGGCUUGAUCUUGAGGAGGUCUUAAGCAUGCAGUCACAGCCUCUCCAAUGAAGACCCACCUGAUAGCAAUCCCUGAACACUCUGGAAGGAAAAUGGACCACACCUCCUCUGCUACUCUGGAUCCCACUCUGUCCGUUUCAACUGACACUCCGGCCAGGGCUUCCGGUACUGACUUCAAUCAAGUUGAGGACUUCAACCUACAUCUUCAAUUAAGCAAAUCCCAUCUAACAUGGACUGAAUAUAAUUCAUUCGAGACUUUCGCUAUACUAACAUUUUCUUCCUACAGGACCCCACAAGGCUAUUGCCGUCCCAUUUCAGCAGGAAGUAACUUGGAGAAUGCUAGGCCCCCAUCCCCCAUUAUUGUCACUAAGGGUAAUGUACACCUAGUCAGGGAUAGUUUCCUAUUGUUCAUGGUUGGAAUUGGAAGGUGUUCAGGCUUAGACACCUCUUUCAGAUGACUUUAAGCUUUAGUUAUAUAGACAUAGUUAGGAUGUGACAUAAGCAGAUUAUUGUAUCUUCUUAUAUUUCACCUUUAUGAUUGUUAAUUUUGGAUACUUCACACUGUUAAGUUUUAAUUCUCUUUUAGACUAAAAGGGGAAUUGUAGGGAGACAAAGUACCAUGCCUCCUAAGGGUUGGCUCCAGGUGUGCCCAACCACACAGGGUGUGGUCAAGGUGAUGUCAGGGUGACGUGAGAAAGGUUUAAAGGGAUAGCCAAGGCAUAUGGUAGCUCUCUUUUCUCUGCUGCUUCGGCUCGCUCUGGUUUCCUGUCAGUUAGCAUUUACUUAUUAAAGAUAUCCUGACCAUUA